AGGGGCAGGGGUGGGAGGAGAGAGAACAAAAACUCAUUGAGCCAGUUGUUGCUGGGAACAAGGGUCACACUUGGCCACCUAGUUAGGCUCUGUGAGCGGUGGGGGAUUCCAGAGGCUUGGCCCAGUAAUCUCCAUGGACAAUGCCCGCGAAGAACAAGCCCUCAGCAGAAGCCUGCCAGCACUAACUAGCCUCGUCACCAGAGUCGGGGGAUUGUGUAGCUCCGCUCUGUUUGCUUUUCCCUUUGCCAGUCUGUCCCUGCCUUUGUGCCUGCCACUUCCAAAGGGGACCGGCCUUCUGAACAGAUAUAUCUCACCAAUGUGGCACCUCAGGAUGGAGACUGCGGCUCCGUGCGGUGUACAUGGCAUCUCUCAGCUGUCCAGGGACAGGAGCAGUUGUGACAUGGAGCCAGGCACCAGGAUCAGGCCAGGCCCGGGAGCUUCUGAGCUAGCUGUAGGACUGUCCUUUGGAUCCACCGAGCCACAGCUUUUGGUUCAGAGGGUGUGGACAGUGACGCCCUGCUCCAGAACAGCCCUCGGUUGAUCUACAGACAGUGCUCCGAGAAGAGGAAAACACAGAGGGCCGAGGAACUCAAGAUGGAGGGCAGGGCAGCUCACCUCCCACUGGUCACUUAGCUCCUCUCUCUGGGUGCCAACUUCCUUUUCUACUUCUAGGGGAGCCUGAAGAUGUCUAAAGUCCUGUUGGGCACCAAGACAGAUUCUAUGCUACAAUACCCUCCAUGAUACACAGUACAACCAGCAGGCCCAAGGCUUGCUCGAGGUCUCUCCUCCUCUAAGGAGUCUCCUGUAAUUCACCAGUGGUUAGCUGCUUGCUCCUGCUCACCCUAUACUACACUUCAAGGCGCUUCUCCGUGUUUCAGUCAGAUCUGCAGCAGCCCCGGGCUCAGGCUCCUUCCUCCAAUCACCUCUGUUCCUGAAUUGAUGCUUGUUAAAUAAGAGACAGAUCAAGAUGCCCCAUGUGACAAGGGCCUGAGGGCUGAGAGUUCCUGUGUUUGCCACUCAGCCUGGCUCAAUGUCCAGCAAGCCUGUCUCUCUGCAUCUCUGCAGGCUGAAGAUGGAACUGUGGAGCUCACAUCUCACAUCCAGCAGCUCUCCAGGGUGGCAUUCUCCUCAGACAACAUCUUGGGCUUUCCCAAAGACAAAGAGCAACAAGCUUCAGGCUCCAGACCCCUGUGUGGGUCAUGGGUUGGGUCAUAUCUCUGACACUCCCAUCUAUUUGUGCACACUCAAAGGGCAGUGACCUCCUGGUGACUCUGGGGGCUGGCUGAGCACCCUGGGAGAGAAGAAGAACUCAGCAUCUGUUUGGGUUUGCCCAGCACUUUUUCCAAGUGGCAGUUGAUGGUGUGAAAGUAAACAGCGGAUAGUACUUCUGUUCACUGAGGUGUGAACGGGGAGACAGUAAGCAGCUGAGACCAAAGCUGUGGCAUUUUAGGCAGCAGGGCAUAAAGAGGCAGAGAACAGAGAGCCAGGCUUUGCCCUACACUUACCUACAGGCCUUCAAGUCUUAGCUAACAGGUGAGGGCAUCCCUCUGUCUUUGGUAUCAAAGGAGCUUGGUCCCCACACCACUAACCCCUUGAAUACCCAAAUCCAUAGGUGCCCAAGUCCCUUAGAUAAAAGAGUACAGGUGUGUUUAAAGGACAUACAGCCUCCUCUAUACUUUAAAUCAUCUCUAGCUUAGUUUUCAUGCCCAAACAACUGUUUGUAGCUGUUUGCUAUCUGUGUAGAGAAUGGUGGCAAGAAAAAGAAAUCUAUAUUCAGUGUAGAUGAAACUUUUGUUUCCAGUCUACAGUUGGUCGACUCUCCAGAUGCAGAAGUUAUGGACGGAGAAUGUGGGCUUCUCCUCAGACUUAUUAAUUAGGCAGUGUUGACCUCCAGCCUGGUGACCUGCUCAGUUGCUCUGAGCUUCCCUUCCUUCCUCUGUAUAAGGGAAAUGCUGAGAGCCACACUGCAGAGGCGACUUGGUGCCUGAUCUAAGGGUCAGGGAACCCUACUGAUUCACUUCUAGUGAUUUUUCACACAUGUUUACCCUGAGCCCGAACUGUGCCCAGUGCUGGAAAUGAACAGGCCAGUGAGAUACAAUCUCUGCUCCAAGAGAGCACAGUCCACAUAAAACACAAAGUGAUAUUGGCAUUCUAAAUAGUCAGUAUAUGCAUAUGGCAUAUGUAUUUAUACAUAGCCAUCACUAACGCCUGGACCUUUUUGAUUGGCUACAAUGGAUUAAAACCAUGGAUCUAAAGAGGAGCUAGAUCUGGGACUUACCCAUGGCUUUGUCACUUACUGACUGAAUACAUUGCACUGCAUUAUACAAUC